UCGGAUUGCAGCCUGCAACUCGGCUGCAUGAAGCUGGAAUCGCUAGUAAUCGCGGAUCAGAAUGCCGCGGUGAAUACGUUCCCGGGUCUUGUACACACCGCCCGUCACACCAUGGGAGUCGGGAAUGCCCGAAGUCAGUGACCCAACCGAAAGGGGGAGCUGCCGAAGGCAGGCCUGGUAACUGGGGUGAAGUCGUAACAAGGUACC
rnacentral:rRNA from 1 species